UUCGCGUUACUUCUGUGGUUCGUGCCGCUCUUCGGUGUUCAUGUGUUCCACCGCCCGGUUUGAGGUGGUGCCAGUUGGAAGUUGGAUAUCAAUCAGCUAAAUGGAAUGGUCUCCAUGGAUGCAAUCGGCCCAGGACGGCCGCCACUGUAGAAAAACAAAAUGCAGAUCUGGAACACACAAGCAGGAAAUGGCCUUGGCUUACAGCAUGGUACCGCCUACGGUCCUAUCGUUUUCCACAAUUGAUUUUGGGAAACUACGGAAUCCACAAAGUUAGUCCUGCGAGAACCACGAUUCGAACAGCUGUCGUCUGGAAUGUGACAAGUGUCAGAUCUCUCAGAUGUUAAGCUUUCUAUAGUCAUCUGCCUAAAGAUUGAAACAGGGUAAAGCAAUUUUAUGACAAAUAAAAGUUUCAAAUGCAUGAAGUGAAA